UGAAAAGGUAGACAGGCUUUUAAUGGCAUGAUCAAGAAUCCCCCUGUUAAUAACAAAUCUAAUGACAACUGUCAAUGCCAGGUGGAUCUGUACACAGACGGGGCCUCUGUGAUGCAUGCCAGAUUCGAUGGCCAAGAAAUUUGCCAUGCAGUUGAACCGGAUUGUGGUUCCUGGUCGGAGUUGUACAUUCUGUUUGCAGUGUGUAAACAUUCUCGAGCUGCUUUCCUAAAGAAUGCAAAGGAGAUAAUGUAGAGAGAUUCAGCCUUAGGACCCAGUCGCGUUCCCAGACAGUACCAAGGAGCAGGAGUCCUGUCUCCGGGCCAGAAGACUUUGGCGGACUGUGUCGGAGGCGAAGGAAAACCACGUCGGUGCGCCAGCUGUGAUGUCUGAGUGUAGAGUCCCAUGCUAAUGUGUUAAAAGGAGAUUUACAAAAUUAUCUGCGUUUUCAGCUCCAAUUCCUGUCCGGAGAAGCAGCAGCCCAGGUUGCACAGGACAGCGGUGUCCCUGUUCUCACGCAUGGGCUGGUUUAAAAUGCGGACUCCUUGCCUAACCCCAUGUCCUGCAGAGCUCUUCACACCACCUGCAGAUGCCGGUCUGGGAGUCUCUGCUUUGGCAGCCACGUCCCCAGGUGCCACCAGCUCCUGCCUCCUCCUUGCAGCUGGAGCAGAGGUGAGGCAAGCCGGGAUCUCAGCCCUGCAGCUCGCUUUGGUUCAGGAGCUAAGGGGAGGAUGUGCUCACACCUCGGUCCCUGUCAGCAACCCACUUAUGGAUCUGCUGUGGUAGCUCUCUUCCUCCUUUUAGCACAGAGAGCAUCAAUGCCUGCCUUAAACCUGCUUUGCAGACAUUUGCAGCUCCAGAAAUAGAAGGGAAAAUGCUCCUCAUAUCCCAGAGCGGCAGCCUGCAAAGGGGCCAGGUAUUCCUUGAGUUGUGCAGACAUCCAGGAGGGCUACAAAGCCCCAGGCAGGGAGGGACUGAUCUGCAGGGGAAAAAGAGUGACUGCAGACCAGGUUUGCUAGAGGAGGGAAGUUACAAAUGAGGGGACGGGAGAGCCGUAGUGUGCAAAUCACUGCCAUUUUGUAGUGUCCUGGCUGUGCCUGGGACCAUGGAUCACUGCAGCCUGCAACCAGGGCUAUUCUUUGGCCUCACCAAGAUGCAAGACCCAAAGCUCACGGAGACGCUGCCAACUUAUCUGAAUGUCAGCUGGCUCUGCUUUCCUACUAGCACAGUCCCAGCCCUUCAGUGGUCAGCAAGAGGCUGAGGGAGUGCAAAAAGCCAUUUGGGGUUCUGCAGAGGAUCCUGAAGCCAGCAAGAAGGGAGCCCCUGGGCUCCCACCCUGCUGUCGGUGGCACAGCACACAGAGGAGGAGGGAAGGACCUAAGCAGGAACCCAAGCUCUCCCCUUGUGUGCAGCUGCUGGGAAACAGACAGGUGAUCACAGGUGCUUGCAGGUGCCCAGGUGGUCUCCACUUGCUUUGCGAAUGCAGCAGAUCGAGCAUGGGCACAUUGCAGUUAAGCCAGAAGACGAUCGUUGGAAACCAAACUCAUCAGAUCCACAAAGGGACUUUUAUUGUGUUUGCAAGAUUCAUUUGACUGCAGUUUGUGGAUGCGUGGAGCAAGGCCUCGGGUGGACAUCCGUGUCUGUGCACGUGGGAUAGUGGUGGGAUCAUGCCAUGGGGCAGUAAACUUUACAGGGAAGAAAGAAGUGUGCUGAGGAGCCAUCGAGCUACUGCUGGAGCUGCUCAGGCUGUAAGCAGAUGUGGAGCCAUCUUAUUACAGAGAUUUACACUGAGAAAAUAGCUCUGUGAUGGAAAGGAGGAACACCAAGGACAUUGUUGCCCCAACAAAACCACGCUUGUGUUAGUGAAGGGCCAUCACCCAGUCUCCAGACCCAGAUCCACGCCACACAGAGAUGGUUAUGACAGCUCUGAUGGCCAUCCCCACCACUGUGUACUGGCCCCUGGCAAGCAGAGCCUCACAGCUCCCACGUGUUUCAGUGCUGUUACCCUGCUCCUCCACCUGCACCCACGGCACUGGGACAGCCCUGCACACAGCGGGGGCACACAGCACCACGGCGCCUCUCUGAAGGCUGCAGGAUCCUUUUCAACCUUUAGCCACAAUAUAUAAUGGGCACUACUUAUAUUAUAUUCUUAUAUUUUUUAAUAUAUAUAUAUAUAUAUAGCAAUACUCUCUACUUAGAAAGGACAAGCCAAGUGUCCUGCCUCUUGCAAAUCCCAAGCACGACCCAGCAAUGUCUGUGACCGAAACACCUUUUGCACCAAGACAAGCCAGUGUCUGUGCUGCCAACCCAAGCCAGCUCAGUGUCUCCAGCCACAUGUCCGUGCCCUCCCGUGACACUCUUUUGGCCGUCCCCAGUGCUCUUUUUGCUUAUACAAUCCACUGUCAUACUAGCUUGGUGCUGAGAACUGUCCUUCAGACCCACCCCUUGGCACACUGUCUUGUAUCAGCCAUUUGCCCUAACAGAACAACCCCCCAAACACGAUCUGCUGUGUUUGACCCGACUACGGCAGGUGCCCUCCUGGUCUGUGAGGCAGAGAAGAGGAUGAAAGACCCACAGUUCCCUGCCCCCUUUGUAGGGCUCUUUUCACAGGAUAUAUCAUUGCUGGUCCACCUGCUCACCAGACAAUCCUCCUCUCCAGCGCACCGAACAGCCUCAAGUGACAGCAGUCCCCGGGGUGACGCUCACCUCUGAAGGGCAGAACUUUGAAAAUCAGAGUGAACAGACCCAGAGCGGCUUCUGCGUGGCAGAGGCUUUGCUGAGUGUCCCUGCUGCCAGCUGGAACAGGUGUCUGAACAAGUGUCCUGCUUUGGGCUGGGAUAGAUACACUCCCUUUGUAGUGGCUGGCGUGGUGUUGUGUUUUGGAUUUGGGUGAGAACAACGUUGAUAACACACUGACGUUUAGUGGUUGCUGAGCAGUGCUUGCAUGAAGCCUGACUCUUUGCACUGCCAAAUUUAGCAAAUGAGCAAAUUAUUUUAAUCACUUGACUGAAAGAGCCCAGCACUGAAGCUCCUGUAAAAGAUAAUCUCAGUGAAGGACUGUAAGAGGCAGUGUGAAGCACUUCGCCUGUAACAUCACAGCAUUACUUGCCACUGGGAAAGGGAACAGGUCUGGAGCUCCAAACCUGUGGGACACAUGGGGAUGUCCAGGCCCUGCAGGAACAACCUUGGGAGCCUGGCAGUGGCAGCAGCCAGCAGCUCCUGCUCUGGCUCUCAGCCCUGCCACAGCCAGACAGCUCUCAAUGCCACUGGACCUGAUGACUCAGGAUAGACAGUGCAUGACAGUACUACAGAUCCAGCUGCAGCACCAGCCCAGCCCUAUCAAACAACAUGGAGACAUGUCUCCCGUGCCGGAAAUCAUUCGCUGGCAUUCUUCUUUCAGCUUCUUUCUUGACAUGGUACAGCUGGGCCAUGGACAAUUCUGAUUUAAACUUUCCCUCGAACAAAUACAAUAGCUGUGCUUCACUGGCCUCCCA
ensembl:lncRNA